rnacentral:rRNA from 1 species
AACGCGAAGAACCUUACCUGGGCUAGACAACGGCGGACCGCCUAAGAAAUUAGGCUUUCCCUUCGGGGACUGCCGGUUCAGGUGUUGCAUGGCUGUCGUCAGCUCGUGUCGUGAGAUGUUGGGUUAAGUCCCGCAACGAGCGCAACCCUUAUCGUUAGUUGCCAUCGGGUCAAGCCGGGCACUCUAGCGAAACCGCCCAGGAUAACUGGGAGGAAGGUGGGGAUGACGUCAAGUCCUCAUGGCCUUUAUGUCCAGGGCUACACACGUGCUACAAUGGUCGGUACAAACCGUCGCAAACCCGCGAGGGGGAGCUAAUCGGAAAAAGCCGACCUCAGUUCGGAUUGGAGUCUGCAACCCGACUCCAUGAAGCUGGAAUCGCUAGUAAUCGCAGAUCAGAACGCUGCGGUGAAUACGUUCCCGGGCCUUGUACACACCGGCUAC